GAUAUGAAACAUAUAUAUCGUAAAAGGUUAAGUUUAAGGGUAGAUAGAUGCCAAUGACAGUAGUACAUGCUUUAUUUUACAUAUUGUAUUAUAUACAAUACAUAGAUAGAUACAUGCCUAGUUUCAAUGGAGGUCUCAUGUGUCCACUACCUCCACUAGAUCUUCCCCUAGAGAUUGAUAGUACCUCCAAAUCCUAUUUCAUUCUUGUCUCCCUCACCGUCGUCUUCUUCACCUUUGUAGUCACUCUCACCGCCAUCGUUGUAGUCUCUCCCACCGCCACCGCUGUAGUCUCUCCCACCGCCACCGCUGUAGUCACUCUCACCGCCAUCGUUGUAGUCUCUCCCACCUCCAUCGUUGUAGUCUCUCGCACCGCCACCAUUGUAGUCUCUCUCACCACCAUCGUUGUAGUCUCUCGCACCGCCACCGUUGUAGUCUCUCGCACCGCCACCGUUGUAGUCUCUCCCACCUCUACCAUAGUCUCUCCCACCGCCACCGUUGUAGUGUCUCCCACCGCCACCGUUGUAGUCUCUCCCACCGCCACCGUUGUAGUCUCUCUCACCUCCACUGUAGUCUCUCUCACCGCCGUGUGUAGGAUAAUCAGAAUCGUCUUUGUCGCUGAUGUUACUUGUAUCAUUAGUAUCGUCGCUGUCGCUGUCGCUGUCGCUGGAGUCUCCAUUACCUUGGUCUUCGUCGUCUCCUUGAUUACCUAUAUUAAAAUCUCCGCCAGGCCAUUUCCAAUGUACUUUCCAUUUUGAUAACCAACUUAAAUUAGUUUUUGAUAAAUCAUCUUUUGAUGGCUCGGUUGCCACAACACUGAUAAUAAGGAGAGCACAAAGGAAGCAAACAAAACUAAAAAACUUCAUUUCAACCUUGCUACAGUAUCUUAGAGUUUAUUGUAAACUGGGAAUGCUAUUGACAAGUAUUUAUAGUGUUCUUGCAUGGGAAAAAUAAAAUAAUUUAAAAUACAAAAACACGUUCAUUAAAAAAUAUAUUGUAUAAUAAAAAAAGAUAAUAUGUAUUCCAUGUCUGAUUGUGAAGGCAAUGAGUCAUCAUUAUCAAUGGAGCCAUUGAAAGGUUAAAUAGAUUGGGACAUAUUUGUAUCUUGAUCUAUAUCAUAGCGCCAAUAUAUAUGACGAGGGUUUUUUUUUUUUUUUAUAUAUUUUUUAUAUUUUAACAUUUAUUAAUAUUAUUUGACCACUACAAUAUUUAUAAUUGAAAGAUAAACGUUUGCAAACUUUUUAAGAAUCUGAUUAUGAUGAAUAGAUAAAUAAUUGUGAUUUUAUAACUAAUAGGUAUGUGUUAUUAAUCGUGAUUUUAUAAUUAUACUUGCAAUUUUAUAUCAAUUGUUUUUACAAAUCUCGAAUAAUAAUAUCCUAUGACUUGCAACUUCAUAAAAUUUUAUUAUGGAUAUUUGAAUAUGAAUCGUAACGAGUGUUCAUUUGAAAUGUUUUGAGUUAGAAAAUAUUUGGGUUUAUAAUACUUUAUGAUUGAAUUUAAGAUAUUUGGAUAAUUUUUAAAUUUAAUCACAACAAUAUCAUUUAUUUAUCGAUUUUUUUAGUUAAAACGUGGGUAAUGAAUAUGGGUACGGUCACUUAGGUACCGAUAGGUACCGAAGAGGGUAAGAAUACCGAUAUUAAGUUUGAUACCCAAGAGAGUAAAGGCACAUGUACGAGUAUCUUUUUAAAUUGCGGGUAUGAGGACGGUUACUAUAGUACCCUACUCAAACCCUAUCCAUUGUCAUCCCUACUCAAAAUCAUGUGCAUGGAAACAUGACAUUUUGCCACUGGACCAAUAUAAAAAUAUUUAAUAAUUUGUAAAUGUUUAUUUAUGUGCAUGGAAACAUGACAUUUUACGUAAUUAAUCUUGAUGACCUCAAUAAUAUAUCAGAUAAUUUUUUAUUUAUGUAAAUAUUUAUAUAGAAAAUCUAUAUAAUAUUUUAAUCCAAUGAUUUAGUUUAUAAUAUAUAUAUAUAUAUAUAUUGGUUUACUCCAACAAACAAACACGUCCUUGUUUAUUUAACCUUUUCAAUGGUUCCAUGGAUGUUGUGGAAUACAUAUUAUUGUUAUCAUUUUUUUUUUAUCACGUAUAAUAUUUUUUAAUCAGUGUGUUUUUGUCUUUUAAAAUAACUAUAUAUAUAUAUAUUUAUGUGUGUAUGAGUUUUAUAUAUGCACAAUGUAUUUAUUAUUAUAUUAUUGAAUAUGUAACACAAGUUCUUAUAACGGAUAGAUUUGAAUAGUCUCUCAUCUCUGUAAAUAUAUCAUUUUUUAUUUUAGUUCCUAUAAGUUCUUUUAUUUGGAUUUAAUCACUCUAAAAUAAGAGACGUCAGUUUUGGUUCAUAACGUCAAAUCAACGUUAGAAAAAAAGAACUGACACACAAUCGUGAUAUAUGGUCCUAUAAAUGCAUACCAACAUAUCAUCUUUUAUGAUAUAUUAAAAAUAAAAUGUUUUAUAUCAUUAAUUAAUAAAUUUAUUUAUUUAUCUUUUAAUAAUUAGUGUUAUUUUAUAAAAAAAAAUAUGAAAAGAAAUUAAAAGAGUGGUUUAGGGGUUUUGGGAAAACUCGUCUUCUUCCCAGUGUGCCAAUUAAAUAAGAUGUUUGUAUUGAACUUGAGUCGAGUUUUAAACUAAACCAAUGCUUAUCCAACCGAGUUGAACUGAGCUAAGUUCCUCAAUUUUCAGUCCUACAUGUAGGUACUCAAUUUCGAGUAUUGAAGUCAGCAUAGUAGAAUAAAGAUUUAGAGACUUGAUUUGAAGCAUGAGAGAGAGUGAAAAUUUCGUGUUGCGCGUGUAUAUUGAACUAAUUAUUAUAUGUAAAUAAGUUAAUAGAAUUUAAGAAUAAUAUUUGCUUAAUUAGGGAAAAAUGUAAAUUAUAAUUUAACCAAAAGAAAGAAAAUUUAUUUUGGAAAUAUUGAAGUUAUGUAUGUUGUAAUAAAUAAUAGACGAAAUGUAAAGAUCUUUUGUAUCUUACUUGACUAAGAAACCAACAUAUACUGAAUACAAAAAAGUGAGAUAUUGUAAAUUUGAAAAUGUAUUUCAAAAUAUUAAAUGUCUCAGUACGUAGCUUCAUUCUCAAAUAUGUAGUGACAUGUUUCAACUACAAACAAACUUGUUUUGAAUAUCGAAGCAUUCACUGAGUCGCAUCGCUAAUUUGUAGAUGUUUGAUGGUAUAAGACUUACAAAAUUGUAUCUUUUUGCAAAUUUCAACCUUUGUUAAAGUAUGAGUUCAUAAAAUACAAAAAGAUUGUAUACUUUUUAUUAUUAGAUUUUUUUUAAAAGACAUUAUUAGAAAUAAUUAGGAAAUUCUUUUUAUCAGAACUUUAUUUCACUAUUUUUUAAAGUAACAAAUAAAAUUUUUUUCCAAUAAUUUUUAUUAAAAUGAUUUAAAUUUGUUGAAACAAUUACUUUUAUAAAGGUUCUCUUAGCUAUAUGAUCGUUGAUGAAAAACAUGAAAAAUAUUUAUAGAAAAGGAAUCUUGAGUCUUUGAUAAAUCAGUCACAUUUAAAUCUAUAGAGCCAACAUCUAUCACAUAGGUGCCAUCAUUGUUUUUUUUACUAUCACAUUAAGUAUUUGGUAAUUUAUUCAGCUAUAUCAUAACAUGUUUCCAAAAUCUCAAAAGUCUAUUUCGAUUUUAUUCUAUAAAUAUUUAUAUUGCAGUAACAUGUUAGAAAAUAUUAUGCUUAAAUUGAAGUUAUGAAUGUGAUAUUGUUACUACGACUUAAAAAUAUGUAAAGUUGUGGCAACAAUUGAGAUUGCAAACAAUAUUAAAAGAUACUUUGUAAAUUAACUUAUUUUAUAUAACAAUUUUUUUUACAAAAGAAAGUGUUAGAAGAUAAGGUAUUAGACAAUAAGACUAUAAUUAUAUGAUAGAUAUAUUCUCCUCAAAUAAGUAAAUAUUGAAAAGUUACAAAUAAAUAAUUAUAAUGAUUAAAAUCAAAUACCAAUAAUAGAUUCUAAACAGUAUUAUAGACAAAACAAUACUUGGAUAAAAUCUGACCAAUUCGUAGCUUAACUUAUAUUGACAUAUCUCUUCCCACAUUCCUUAUAUUUCUUUCAAUCCAAAUAAAAAUAGCUAUAUGCUUUAUUUUACAUAGUGUAUUGUAUAAUUAAUAGUUUAAAUGGAGGUCUCAUGUGUCCACUACCUCCACCACUAGAUCUUCCCCUAGAGAUUGAUAGUACCUCCAACUCCUAUUUCAAUCUUGUCUGCCUCACCGUCGUCUCCUUCACCGUUGUUGUCUUUCUCACCGCGGUGUCUCCGAUAAUGAGAAUAGUUUAUGCCACGGUUGUCUCCAUUACCUUUGCCUUCUUCGUCAUCUUGACUACCUAUAUUAAUAUCUCCGCCAGGCCAUUUCCAAUGUACUCCCCAUUUCGAUAACCAACUUAAAUUAGUUUCUGAUAAACCAUCUUUUGAUGGCUCGGUUGCCACAACAGCGAUGAGAAAGAGAGCACAAAGGAAGCAAACAAAACUAAAAAGCUUCAUUUUCACCCUUGCUACAAUAUCUAAGUGUUUGUUGUAAACUAUGCAUGCUAUUGACAAGUAUUUAUAAUGUUCAUGCAUGGGAAAA
rnacentral:lncRNA from 1 species